GUUUGGGCCAUAGUUGUUACUGA
rnacentral:piRNA from 1 species